rnacentral:rRNA from 1 species
GGACGAACGCUGGCGGCGUGCCUAACACAUGCAAGUCGAACGGAACUAAUUGACUGAUUCCUUCGGGAUGAAGAAUUUUAGUUAGUGGCGGACGGGUGAGUAACGCGUGAGUAACCUGCCUCUGAGAGGGGGAAUAACGUUCUGAAAAGAACGCUAAUACCGCAUAACACAUAUUUGCCGCAUGACAGAUAUGUCAAAGAUUUUAUCGCUCGGAGAUGGACUCGCGUCCGAUUAGUUAGUUGGUGAGGUAACGGCUCACCAAGACCGCGAUCGGUAGCCGGACUGAGAGGUUGAACGGCCACAUUGGGACUGAGACACGGCCCAGACUCCUACGGGAGGCAGCAGUGGGGGAUAUUGCGCAAUGGGGGCGAACCCUGAACCGCAGCAACGCCGCGUGAAGGAUGAAGGUUUUCGGAUUGUAAACUUCUUUUAUCAGGGACGAACUCUGACGGUACCUGAUGAAUAAGCUCCGGCUAACUACGUGCCAGCCGCGGC